rnacentral:rRNA from 1 species
GAUGAACGCUGGCGGCAUGGCUAAGGCAUGCAAGUCGAACGACCUACUUCGGUAGGGAGUGGCAAACGGGAGAGUAACACAUUGGUAACCUACCCCCAAGACAGGGAUAACUCACCGAAAGGUGGGCUAAUACCUGAUAGUCUCAUCGGUCGCAAGACUUGAUGAGUAAAACUCCGGUGCUUGGGGAGGGGCCUAUGUCCUAUCAGCUUGUUGGUGAGGUAAUGGCUCACCAAGGCUUAGACAGGUAGCGGGUGUGAGAGCAUGGCCCGUCUCACUGGGACUGAGACACUGCCCAGACUCCUACGGGAGGCUGCAGUCACGAAUCUUCCACAAUGGACGAAAGUCUGAUGGAGCAAUGCCGCGUGUCCGAUGAAGCCCUUCGGGGUGUAAAGGACUUUUGUAGGGGACGAAACAAUGACGGUACCCUAAGAAUAAGAGGUUGCUAACUCUGUGCCAGCAGCAGCGGUAAUACAGAGACCUCAAGCGUUAUCCGGAUUUACUGGGCGUAAAGCGUGCGCAGGCGGUUUGAUAAGUCAGGUGUUAAAUCCUAAGGCUCAACUUUAGGACUGCACUUGAAACUAUUAAACUCGAGGCUGGGAGAGGUGAGCGGAAUUGCAGGUGUAGGGGUAAAAUCCGUUUAUAUCUGCAGGAACACCAAAGGCGAAGGCAGCUCACUGGAACAGUUCUGACGCUGUUGCACGAAAGCGUGGGGAGCGAAUGGGAUUAGAUACCCCAGUAGUCCACGCCGUAAACGAUGAAUGCUAAUCAUUGGUAGUAUCGACCCUAUCAGUGGUGUCUAAACAAGCUAACGCGUUAAGCAUUCCGCCUGGGAAGUACGGCCGCAAGGCUAAAACUCAAAGGAAUUGACGGGAGCCCGCACAAGCGGUGGAGCAUGUGGUUUAAUUCGACGAUAAGCGGGGAACCUUACCAAGGCUUGACAUCUAGCUGCAAAUCCCAGGAAACUGGGACGUCUUCGAGAGUGCUAGACAGGUGCUGCAUGGUUGUCGUCAGCUCGUGCCGUGAGGUGUUCGGUUAAGUCCAGAAACGAGCGCAACCCCUAUACUAUGUUAUAUGUGUCAUAGUAGACUGCCUGGGUUAACCAGGAGGAAGGUGGGGACGACGUCAAAUCAGCAUGGCCCUUACGCCUUGGGCCACACACGUGCUACAAUGGUCGGUACAAAGGGUCGCGAAACAGUAAUGUGGAGCCGACCCCCUAAAACCGGCCUCAGUUCGGAUUGAGGGCUGCAAUUCGCCCUCAUGAAGUUGGAAUCGCUAGUAAAUGCGCAUCAGCCAUGGCGCAUUGAAUACGUUCUCGGGCUUUGUACACACCGCCCGUCACACCAAGAGAGUCGGCAAUACCCGAAGGCUGUCGGUAAAACGAUGGACGAAGGUAGGGCCGAUGAUAAGGGUG